AUUCCGGCGAUCGUGCGUCUUCCUCGUCCUCACCGUCGACAAGAACAUCACGUAGAAGAAGAGCUGGAGGUCGCGUCAAGGACAUCACAAAUUCACAAAAUGAGGUCGCCGUCAAGGACAUCACAAAUUCACAAAAUGCAAGCUGAAUCUGAAACUGAAAUCUGAAUUGAAUUGCAAGAGGAUACGAAGCAGCCAAGGCUGAGGCGGAGGACGCCCUCGCGCCGAGGCAGUAGCUGGCGCCCCGGCAGCUGCCGCGGAGUCGCCGGAGCUCGGCGAGUACGGGGU
rnacentral:lncRNA from 1 species